ensembl:ncRNA F11C1.16 ncRNA
GUUUGAGAUGCGCGCCUCCACCCCCAGGUCUCCAGGUACCGGUUUUUCGGUGACUGUCAGAUCUAUUCUUCUCUUCCACUCUCACCGUUUCAUAUCCAAUUUUGCAUCUCUCUUUUCAAUAUAUCGUUUUUGUUGUCAUGCA